rnacentral:lncRNA from 1 species
AGCCACCGCACCCGGCCCCUGAGGGAAUGCUUGAAAUUGCUUUCAUGUAAAAGCACCUACACCCAGGCCCCCCCCACCCACGAACAGCUUCGUGGACAGUUUACUCAGACUGAGUCGAAGAUGGAGAAACUGAGCCCGAGAGAGAGAAGAGGAGUCAGCUGAGCCUCCCCCAGAUAAGACAAUCGCCAAAUAUUCUGGGACCUUGCUGGGGGCAGACAGCCCUCCCUGCCCAGCAAUGGGCCUUUGGGAUGUGGCACAAGCUCCCGGGAAACCAGGAGUGACAAGGGCGCCUGUCCCUGAGGAGUGGAGAGCGCGGAGUUGGUGCUGAGUCAGCCCUGAUGUGGCAGAGGAGGAGCAGGCCCCCGCAGAACCAGGGAAACGUCAUCUCCACCGCUCAACCAG